rnacentral:rRNA from 1 species
UACAGAGGUGGCAAGCGUUGUUCGGAAUUACUGGGCGUAAAGGGCGCGUAGGCGGUUCGUCAAGUCCUGUGUGAAAUCCCCCGGCUCAACUGGGGAACUGCACAGGAAACUAGCGGGCUUGAGUUCGGGAGAGGGAAGCGGAAUUCCGGGUGUAGCGGUGAAAUGCGUAGAUAUCUGGAGGAAUACCGGUGGCGAAGGCGGCAUCCUGGACCGGCAUUGACGCUGAACAGCGAAAGCUAGGGGAGCAAACGGG